rnacentral:rRNA from 1 species
UCCUACGGGAGGCAGCAGUGGGGAAUAUUGGGCAAUGGGCGCAAGCCUGACCCAGCAACGCCGCGUGAAGGAUUGAAGGUCUUCGGAUUGUAAACUUCUUUGAUUGGGGAAGAAUAAAUGACCUACCCAAAGAACAAGCCACGGCUAACUACGUGCCAGCAGCCGCGGUAAUACGUAGGUGGCAAGCGUUAUCCGGAUUUACUGGGUGUAAAGGGCGUGUAGGCGGUUUCGCAAGUCAGAAGUGAAAUUCCCGGGCUUAACUCGGGCGCUGCUUCUGAAACUGCGGAACUUGAGUGCUGGAGGGGAUAGCGGAAUUCCUAGUGUAGCGGUAAAAUGCGCAGAUAUUAGGAGGAACACCGGUGGCGAAGGCGGCUAUCUGGACAGUAACUGACGCUGAGGCGCGAAAGCGUGGGGAGCAAACAGGAUUAGAUACCCUGGUAGUCC